rnacentral:rRNA from 1 species
AGUCGAGCGCACCUUUCGGGGUGAGCGGCGGACGGGUGAGUAACGCCCCCCAAUAUGCCCUAUGGUGCGGAACAACUGAGGGAAACUUCCGCUAAUACCGCAUGUGCCCUACGGGGGAAAGAUUUAUCGCCCUAGGAGUAGCCCGCGUUGGAUUAGUUUGUUGGUGGGGUAAUGGCUCACCCAGACUACGAUCCAUAGCUGGUCUGAGAGGAUGAUCCGCCCCCCUGGGACUGAGACACGGCCCAGACUCCUACGGGAGGCAGCAGUAGGGAAUCUUGCGCAAUGGGCGAAAGCCUGACCCAGCCAUGCCGCGUGAAUGAUGAAGGUCUUAGGAUUGUAAAAUUCUUUCACCGGGGACGAUAAUGACGGUACCCGGAGAAGAAGCUCCGGCUAACUUCGUGCCAGCAGCCGCGGUAAUACGAAGGGGGCUAGCGUUGCUCGGAAUUACUGGGCGUAAAGGGCGCGUAGGCGGACAGUUUAGUCAGAGGUGAAAGCCCAGGGCUCAACCUUGGAAUAGCCUUUGAUACUGACUGUCUUGAGUACGGGAGAGGUGUGUGGAACUCCGAGUGUAGAGGUGAAAUUCGUAGAUAUUCGGAAGAACACCAGUGGCGAAGGCGACACACUGGCCCGUUACUGACGCUGAGGCGCGAAAGCGUGGGGAGCAAACAGGAUUAGAUACUCUGGUAGUCCACGCUGUAAACGAUGAGUGCUAGUUGUCGGCAUGCAUGCAUGUCGGUGACCCACCUAACGCAUUAAGCCCUCCGCCUGGGAGUACGGUCGCCAGAUUAAAACUCCAAGAAUUGACCGGGGCC